rnacentral:rRNA from 1 species
GAUGAACGCUGGCGGCGUGCCUAGUACAUGCAAGUCGAGCGAAUGGAUUAAGAGCUUGCUCUUAUGAAGUUAGCGGCGGACGGGUGAGUAACACGUGGGUAACCUGCCCAUAAGACUGGGAUAACUCCGGGAAACCGGGGCUAAUACCGGAUAACAUUUUGAACCGCAUGGUUCGAAAUUGAAAGGCGGCUUCGGCUGUCACUUAUGGAUGGACCCGCGUCGCCUUAGCUAGUUGGUGAGGUAACGGCUCACCAAGGCAACGAUGCGUAGCCGACCGGAGAGGGUGAUAGGCCACACUGGGACUGAGACACGGCCCAGACUCCUACGGGAGGCAGCAGUAGGGAAUCUUCCGCAAUGGACGAAAGUCUGACGGAGCAACGCCGCGUGAGUGAUGAAGGCUUUCGGGUCGUAAAACUCUGUUGUUAGGGAAGAACAAGUGCUAGUUGAAUAAGCUGGCACCUUGACGGUACCUAACCAGAAAGCCACGGCUAACUACGUGCCAGCCGCCGCAGUAA